rnacentral:rRNA from 1 species
UACGGAGGGUGCAAGCGUUAUCCGGAAUCACUGGGUUUAAAGGGUGCGUAGGCGGUUUGAUAAGUCAGUGGUGAAAGCUCAUCGCUCAACGAUGAAAUUGCCAUUGAUACUGUCAGACUUGAAUUAGGAUAAGGUAAGCGGAAUGUGGCAUGUAGCGGUGAAAUGCAUAGAUAUGCCAUAGAACACCAAUUGCGAAGGCAGCUUACUGGGCCUUGAUUGACGCUGAGGCACGAAAGCGUGGGGAUCAAACAGGAUUAGAUACCCUGGUAGUCCACGCCCUAAACGAUGCUUACUCGUUGUAUGGAAUUCGUUUCAUGUGACCAAGCGAAAGCGAUAAGUAAGCCACCUGGGGAGUACGCCGGCAACGGUGAA